rnacentral:lncRNA from 1 species
CACCCAGUUAGACAGCUAUGCAGCUGAACACAGCAUACCACAAGUCACCACAUGUGGAAGACACUUUCCUGGCUCCUCAUAUCCUCCUACACUGGUAACAAGUUCCUUACUCAGACUUGGGGCAAGUUAUACCUGCAAUGAAGCAGACCUCAGCUGUCCAUGGAGAUAGUCAAGAUACAAAAUGAGAAUGAAGAUAAGUUUGCAAAACAGAUAAAUAAGUUAUUCAUUAGUUCAGAGGAUAUUAUUCACACUGAAUGGAGACCCUGUGACUC